rnacentral:rRNA from 1 species
CAAACCGUAAAUGAUGCUUGCUAGGUGUUUGAUUCGCGUAAGCGGAUUGAGUGCCGUACCUAACGGAUUAAGCAAGCCGCCUGGGGAGUAUACUCGCAAGAGUGAAACUCAAAGGGAUAGGCGGGGGAACACACAAGCAGUGGAUUAUCUAGAUUAAUUGGAUAAUAAGCCAAAAAUCUUACCUAGGCUUGACAUAUGUUGUGUCACCCGAGAAAUCGGGUUAUUCGUAGCAAUACGAAGCCUCAUACAGGUGG